rnacentral:rRNA from 1 species
GGGGAAUUUUGGACAAUGGGGGCAACCCUGAUCCAGCCAUGCCGCGUGAGUGAAGAAGGCCUUCGGGUUGUAAAGCUCUUUCGGCCGGGAAGAAAUCGUGCAGGCUAAUACCCUGUAUGGAUGACGGUACCGGAAUAAGAAGCACCGGCUAACUACGUGCCAGCAGCCGCGGUAAUACGUAGGGUGCGAGCGUUAAUCGGAAUUACUGGGCGUAAAGCGCGCGUAGGUGGUUUGGUAAGAUGGAUGUGAAAUCCCCGGGCUCAACCUGGGAACUGCAUCCAUAACUGCCUGACUAGAGUACGGUAGAGGGUGGUGGAAUUCCACGUGUAGCAGUGAAAUGCGUAGAGAUGUGGAGGAACACCAAUGGCGAAGGCAGCCCCCUGGGUCGAUACUGACGCUCAUGCACGAAAGCGUGGGGAGCAAACA